rnacentral:rRNA from 1 species
GACGAACGCUGGCGGCGUGCCUAAUACAUGCAAGUAGAACGCUGAAGGAGGAGCUUGCUUCUCUGGAUGAGUUGCGAACGGGUGAGUAACGCGUAGGUAACCUGCCUGGUAGCGGGGGAUAACUAUUGGAAACGAUAGCUAAUACCGCAUAAUAGUAGAUGUUGCAUGACAUUUGCCUAAAAGGUGCAAUUGCAUCACUACCAGAUGGACCUGCGUUGUAUUAGCUAGUUGGUGGGGUAACGGCUCACCAAGGCGACGAUACAUAGCCGACCUGAGAGGGUGAUCGGCCACACUGGGACUGAGACACGGCCCAGACGCCUACGGGAGGCAGCAGUAGGGAAUCUUCGGCAAUGGACGGAAGUCUGACCGAGCAACGCCGCGUGAGUGAAGAAGGUUUUCGGAUCGUAAAGCUCUGUUGUAAGAGAAGAACGAGUGUGAGAGUGGAAAGUUCACACUGUGACGGUAUCUGACCAGAAAGGGACGGCUAACUACGUG